rnacentral:rRNA from 1 species
ACUCCUCGGGAGGCAGCAGUGGGGAAUAUUGCGCAAUGGGGGAAACCCUGACGCAGCAAUGCCGAGUGAGUGAGGAAGGCCUUCGGGUUGUAAAGCUCUGUCAGAUGGGAAUAAUUGCUUAGGGUCCAAUAGGCCCUAAGUUUGAAGGUACCUUCAAAGGAAGCACCGGCUAACUUCGGUGCCAGCAGCCGCGGUAAUAC